AACCACAUGCAAGAAUUAAUACCUCAAAAAAAUUCGAUUUGAAUACAUGAAUUAGGAACAUGGUAAGCCCCAAUGCUACACAUUAUAUAUCAAUUGGGCAAUUGAUUAGAAAUGAAUAAUUAAAACUUUAGUUACACACGCACAGACAAGAAAACAUUACAUGCCCUUUUUAAUAGUAUUAGGGCAAAUUCUGAUACACGACCAUCGCAAGGACUUAUUUGGUAUUUAUACAAUUCUAUUGAUUUUUGAUUGUAAAAUAAAACACACAAUUAGUCCUAUGAUAUGGUAUCAGUCUUGUUGGGAUCUGAUGAACGAGGGAGAGGAGGGUGAGGAGGGAGAGAAGAGGACACAGAUUGGACAAUGGAAUCAAACAUCAUCUUUUUCACUGACCUCCUCUUUGCUGGAAACACAGAUGCAAUCUUUGGCUUCUUCUUCAUUGCCUUCUCUGGCUCUGGGUUGACUGAUGCCAUUUUCCUCACUUGGGUUGCUCAGUUUUACCACCAAUUUGCUCUCUGCUUUGUAUUUGUGCUGCAGUGUUUAUGUGUUUGAUAAUGAGGCUUUAGGCUCUUUAUAUAAGUAAAAAAAAGGGGUUGCAACUUGCAGGUAAAAUUUGUGGGGCAGCUCAGUUUUGAAGCAUCAAAUUUGAUUGACCAAUCCAUAUAUACAUCUAUAUCAACUUAUGAAUGAGCAGUAUGAAACUAUGCUUGCCUUUAUUCCCUGUCGGUAAAAACUUUUUAAACCUAUGCUUGCCUUUAUUCCCUAUCAGUAAAAAGUUUUUAAGGACCUGUUUUUAGAAAAUAGACAGAGAAGGUAAAAAAAGGAGGGGUUUUGAGAGGGCCAAAUGAUGGUGAUUAUUGGUAUCAGUCUUCAUGGGAUAUGCAACCACAAUCAUUGGGCUAGUCAUAGAGACGUGACGAAGAAGUACUUGUGGAGACUCUAGCUUGGUUUAAAGUUAAAAGAGGAUGCCAUUUCCUCUGAACGGUGUAGGAACAAAGAUUCUAGGUCGGUGGCUCUGUUGUGUUGUGAGCAAAACCCAAGUUCUUCAUCUGAUCAAAACCCACCCAAGGUCAUGAAGGUUGGGUUUAUGGAAUGGAAAAGGAGAAAUAUUAGAGUAAAACAACUGUCUCUUGUGUGCAGAAUAAGUUCUAAUUUUUGGAGCUUACUUUUUUGCCUACAGUAACAGCAUCCCCUAAAGGAAGCUGCAAAAUAAUUUUGUUGCGCCACCUACCACUUCACUACUUUAUUUAGGGAGUAUCUGAUGGGUUAAAGUUCGGCCCGGCCAGAUAGUUAGGCUUAUUUAGUUUGGCAUGUUCUAAGGUUGGGUAGGGCUCAGAGUCAGAUUUGAAACCUCUGGCCCGCCCAUUUGCCUUGUUUUGUUUUUUAUUUUACUUUAUAUAGUCAUAUUUUUAUUCUAAACAUUUAAGUAAGAGCACUGUCAUUUUCAUCCGUGUUCUAUUUUUUCACUCACAUUAUCUUUCCACCUACCAUAUCAAUUUGGAAAAAACAUAAUCUUAUUUUUUCCACCCACCAUUAUUCCUAAAAUACCUUUUAAUAAUGAAUUCAAGCAAAUCCUCUUUAAUAAUCAUUAUUAUUCCUAUAAAUAAAAAAUAAGAGAGAGAGAGAGAGAGAGAGAGAGAGAGAGAGAGAGAGAGAGAGAGAGAGAACUGAGUGGUUGAAGCUUGAAGCUUGAAAACAAAUUAAGAUACAUGUGACUUGAAAGAGAAUUGCAUACAAAGUUGUAUGUUAGAGGCCUCUUAUAUUGGGCAACAUGAAAAUCAAUAUUAAAUAGGAAUAGGAAAAUCAACAUUAAUAUUAUCUUAUUAAUAUAGGAGAAGCCACAUCAAUCCAUACCAAUAUAAUAAACUCACAUUAAUAAAAUAAUAUUUAUUAUGGGGCUCAACUUUCCUUAUUUUGUAAUGAAAAACAAAUGAAAAGUGAAUAUUAAUGUUAUUAAAUUAAUAUCAAUACUAAGCUCCAACAACAUAUUAAUGUAAAUUAAUAUUUAAUGUGGGGCCUGGUCGCUCACUUUGCUCAUGCCAAGUGCCGCCCCUAAUCAUCCAAGUAUCAUACAAUUCAAUGCUAAUGACUCUUCUCCAUCUAGUUCCACAAAAGUUAAAACCGCUAGAGGUUAUAUUUUGUAGAUUUAACCUCUAGUAAUUCUUGAGUAUCCUUGUAAAUUCUAAAGCGUGUUUUGGGGUUGCGCAAGAUAUUGACAAACACAUAGCUAUAGGCUAGGCUUCAUUUUAUCCACAUGACUUAUUUGCAUAUCCCCUUUACACACAAGCAGUGUGGCCAAAUAAAGUAUGAAAGAUAGCGUAAAUCUUAAGUGCCUUGAAGCAAUCUUUCAUCCUCUCAUUAUCAUUCCUCAUAAACACUUCCAUUGAACCAUAACCCACAGACCUUGUAUCAACAGAAUAUCCAACUUUUAUUAGAAUAGAAAAGGAAAUUUGUACAAAGUCAAAGCAUCGAUCCGCAUAGUGAAUUAGCAAUCUAGUAAAAGAUUUGCAGAGGAUUUGUGUGACCGUACAUAAAACAAUGAAAACAAACAUUUGCAGAGUAUUUAUGUGAUCUUAAAACAAUGAAAGCAAAGAUUUUCCGUGUUCUUCAUCUUUGGGGUCCGGUUGACAUGGACUUUGAACUAUCCAGAAGAUCUUUGGGGUACACAUCAUCCUCGAACAAAUUGAUUGGAUACUCGUUUUGAACUGCAGAGCCUUGUCUUGUAUAUGCCAGAUUUUAUGUAGACCUCAAUAGAACAUACUCAAUCUUCUCUUUCCGUUGAUUUUACCAUGUUCACAAAAUCAACUAAUGAGUUAUAAUUAAAAAUGGGUUAAAGUUCAAUCUCUUCCAAAUGUAUAAGACUGAGGUGAGGUAGCUUCUAAUGCGACAUGGCAUAAAUUUUGUAACUUUUCCAACCAAAUUGAGAUUCUUUUGGUUUGGCUCAAAGAGAAUUCGGUUGUGAAAUUGAAGCUUGUUCAGUUUACUGGAACAAGUUUGCUAUCAAAAGAAAUUUUUUUUCCAACCAAAUAAAUGGGUUCCAAUCGGUUUAGCCCUUCAAUUCUAAUGGAACAAAAUUUCGGUUGGUUUCUAAAUGUAUGGAUGUCCACUUGAGACGCUCACUAUGUAAUUCAACUAGUAAAAUUUAUAUAAUGUUAUGAAUAAAUGUAUUGCUAAAAGCAGUAUAUAGAGUGUCCAAAUAUACUUUUCACACAGCACAUGCAUACAAAAAUUAACCGUGCAAUAAGAGUUUGACAUAAUAAACAUACUUUUCAUAGUAGCAGAUAUUCAUAACCUCUCAAACGUAAGCUUCUUAGUAGAUUAUUCAAAUAGUUAAAAUUGACAACCUUAUUUGUCAGUGCAUAUGCAUGACGGCUCUGCCAAUUAAUUUUGUUUUGUCAAAUAAUUAAUCACUUAAAUUAAGACAAGUGCAGACAAUUUGAAACCAGUAAACAUGUCCACUAAGACAUGACCUAUUAUACUGCAAGAAUUUCAAAAUGACACGAUAAUUAUUUUGAGACAUGACCAUAUCUAUAUGGAUUAAUUGAGUCUAGCUAGGUGACAACAACAACAAGAACAAUAGCUGAGCCUGAGAUUGAGAACAAAGACGUUAUUAAUUUUGGGAUGGGUCGGGAAAUAUGAUAUUGGUGUUCUUGGUUGUAGCCUCGCUGGACUUGGAGUUGGAGAGAGAGUGGAAAAAAGAGGCCACAGAUUGGAAUAUGGAAUUAAACAUCAUUCGCUUCACUGACCUCCUCUUUGCUGGAAUCACACUUGCAAAAUUUGAAGUCUUUGGUUUAGAGCAUGUUGUUUUGUUGCCUGCUGCAACCACUUCCUUACCUGGGUUCUUCAUUUCCUCAGAUGGGUUCAGCUUUUCCACCAAUUUGGUUAUCUUCUAAAAUUCUGC
rnacentral:lncRNA from 1 species